rnacentral:rRNA from 1 species
UACGUAGGGUGCGAGCGUUGUCCGGAAUUACUGGGCGUAAAGAGCUCGUAGGUGGUUUGUCGCGUUGUUCGUGAAAUCUCACGGCUUAACUGUGAGCGUGCGGGCGAUACGGGCAGACUAGAGUACUGCAGGGGAGACUGGAAUUCCUGGUGUAGCGGUGGAAUGCGCAGAUAUCAGGAGGAACACCGGUGGCGAAGGCGGGUCUCUGGGCAGUGGCUGACGCUGAGGCGCGACAGCGUGGGGAGCAAACAGG